rnacentral:ncRNA from 1 species
AUACAAGUGCCCCAAAAGGGAUAAUAGGGAAGUUGGUGAGAUUCCAGCACGAUCCCGUCACUGUGAUAGGUAGUUUCUUACAAAAUCCACUAGGUUUUUACAGAUUUGGGAAGGAGUAAGAAGAACAAUGACCUUAAGUCAGGAAACCUGCUUGUAUGGAU